CAAUAGCGUAUAUUUAAGUUGUUGCAGUUAAAAAGCUCGUAGUUGGAUUUCGGAUGGGAUUUGCCGGUCCGUCGUUACGAUGUGCACUGGCCAGUCCUAUCUUGUUGUCGGGGACUAGCUCCUUGGAUUCACUUCCUGGGACUAGGAGCUGACGAGGUUACUUUGAGUAAAUUAGAGUGUUCAAAGCAAGCCUACGCUCUGAAUACAUUAGCAUGGAAUAACACGAUAGGACUCUGGCUUAUCUUGUUGGUCUGUGAGACCAGAGCAAUGAUUAAGAGGGACAGUCGGGGACAUUCGUAUUUCAUUGUCAGAGGUGAAAUUCUUGGAUUUAUGAAAGACGAACUUCUGCGAAAGCAUUUGUCAAGGAUGUUUUCAUUAA
rnacentral:rRNA from 1 species